rnacentral:rRNA from 1 species
AUUGAACGCUGGCGGCAUGCUUUACACAUGCAAGUCGAACGGCAGCUCGGGCUUCGGCCUGGCGGCGAGUGGCGAACGGGUAAGUAAUGCAUGGGAACGUGCCCGGUAGUGGGGGAUAGCCCGGCGAAAGCCGGAUUAAUACAGCAUACGACCUGAGGGUGAAAGCGGGGGGCCGGAAGGCCUCGCGCUAUUGGAGCGUCCGUUGUCGGUUUAGCUAGUUGGUGGGGGGAAGGCUUACCAAGGCGAGGAUCCGUAGCUGGUCUGUGAGGACGACCAGCCAAACUGGGACUGAGACAAGGCCCAGACCCCUACGGGAGGCAGAAGUGGGGAAUUUUGGACAAUGGGGGCAACCCUGAUCCAGCAAGGCCGCGGGCGGGAAGAAGGCCUUCGGGUUGUAAACCGCUUUUGUUCGGGAAGAAAUCCUCUGGGCUAAUACCCCGGGGGGAUGACGGUACCGGAAGAAUAAGCACCGGCUAACUACGUG